UUGUUGCCAUUUAUCUUCGUCUAUAAGUGGACUUCUUACUGGAAAAGAUGCCAACUUUUGAAUUUUAUAACGUCUUGGAAGAAUAUUUGUCACCUGAAAAAUUUUAACUCCAAUCAAAUGAAGAGGGAGCGAAAUAAAAUGCGACGUGUGUCUGUGAACUUUAUAAUGGAUAUGUAUAGAUUUUUGAUGCCCGGUGGUAACCAGCCUUCCAUGUGGCUAAACAGAUGCCAGCAAACCCAAAUUCUGAGAUACAACUGGAUGUUCUUUUCUUCUGCUUUUAAGACUCCUAAUUCAGGAUGAUGUGCAGUUCAUGUUAGAUUUGCUAUUUCUACAGUUACAGUGAGGUGGAAGAGUCCAGCCGUGUUAUGGGGCAGCAAUUAAACAAGAAGGAUGGUGAGACGUGUGCCAUGUUGAAGGAGUGGCUGGCCCUCCUGCCCGGCACUUCUAGAAUCCUCCAUCUAAACCUCUGCUCUGAUUUGCUGUGCCUUUGCCAAGUGAUCACGAGUUUAUUGCAAUGGUGCCCCCUACAUUUCCACCGUCUGUUACAUCAACUCCAAAUGCCUGUGAUGCUGGAGAGAAGAAAAAUUCACAAGAUGUCCUGAAAUGGAAUUGUGAUUGGAGAGAGACGGCCACAAUUAUAUAUGCUGGGAUGUGCAGAGGGGGCUCUGCGGGCUUUGGUUUGGGACCACCAGAGGUUUAUUAUCUCCAGCAUCCUUGAAGGCUGCAUGUUUGUGUUUGUCCCCAGCCAUU